rnacentral:rRNA from 1 species
GACCUGCCCCAUACACCGGAAUAGCUCCUGGAAACGGGUGGUAAUGCCGGAUGCUCCGACUCCUCGCAUGGGGUGUCGGGAAAGAUUUCAUCGGUAUGGGAUGGGGUCGCGUCCUAUCAGGUAGUCGGCGGGGUAACGGCCCACCGAGCCUACGACGGGUAGCCGGCCUGAGAGGGCGACCGGCCACAUUGGGACUGAGAUACGGCCCAGACUCCUACGGGAGGCAGCAGUGGGGAAUAUUGCACAAUGGGCGCAAGCCUGAUGCAGCGACGCCGCGUGCGGGAUGACGGCCUUCGGGUUGUAAACCGCUUUUGAUCGGGAGCAAGCCUUCGGGUGAGUGUACCUUUCGAAUAAGCACCGGCUAACUACGUGCCAGCAGCCGCGGUAAUACGUAGGGUGCAAGCGUUAUCCGGAAUUAUUGGGCGUAAAGGGCUCGUAGGCGGUUCGUCGCGUCCGGUGUGAAAGUCCAUCGCUUAACGGUGGAUCUGCGCCGGGUACGGGCGGGCUGGAGUGCGGUAGGGGAGACUGGAAUUCCCGGUGUAACGGUGGAAUGUGUAGAUAUCGGGAAGAACACCAAUGGCGAAGGCAGGUCUCUGGGCCGUUACUGACGCUGAGGAGCGAAAGCGUGGGGAGCGAACAGGAUUAGAUACCCUGGUAGUCCACGCCGUAAACGGUGGAUGCUGGAUGUGGGGCCCGUUCCACGGGUUCCGUGUCGGAGCUAACGCGUUAAGCAUCCCGCCUGGGGAGUACGGCCGCAAGGCUAAAACUCAAAGAAAUUGACGGGGG